rnacentral:rRNA from 1 species
GACGAACGCUGGCGGCGUGCUUAACACAUGCAAGUCGGACGGUGAAGCGCCUUCCUUUUUGGUGGGUGUGGAUGAGUGGCGAACGGGUGAGUAACACGUGAGUAACCUGCCCCCUUCUUCUGGAUAACCGCAUGAAAGUGUGGCUAAUACGGGAUAUUCUGGGUCUGUCGCAUGAUGGGUCUGGGAAAGAUAUUGUUUCGGUGGGGGAUGGGCUCGCGGCCUAUCAGCUUGUUGGUGGGGUGAUGGCCUACCAAGGCGGUGACGGGUAGCCGGCCUGAGAGGGGGGACGGUCACACUGGGACUGAGACACCGGCCAGACUCCUACGGGGGGCAGCAGUGGGGAAUAUUGCACAAUGGGCGCAAGUCUGAUGCAGCGACGCCGCGUGAGGGAUGGAGGCCUUUGGGUUGUGAACCCCUUUCGCCAGUGAAGCAGGCCUGCCUCGUUUGUGGGUGGGUUGACGGUAGCUGGAGAAGAAGCGCCGGCUAACUACGUG